rnacentral:sRNA from 2 species
GCGAAUAGGGUGCCGAAUCCCCAUCGGGGGAACGGGGGAACCAAUUGUCUGCCGGCUGGCAGGCACCGGGGUGAAUCUCCGACAGUGUCGGAGUAGGCUAGCUCCUUCAAGCCGAACCCGUCAGCUAACCUCGUAGGCAUGCGAAGGAGAGGCUAG